rfam:Clostridium sp. CAG:127 genomic scaffold, scf99
UAUGUUUGAAACUUAGAAGUACUUAAUGUUCUGUAAUAAAUCAGCAAUGUUUGAACACGAUGUUCAAACAAGCCGCCACUGAGCCACGGAUGGCGAAUUGGCGGCGAUUGCGUACGAUAGAAGUUAUGUAAAUCAGAACAUUUAGAACUUCUUGUUUCAAUACAU